UCCGUAUAACAAUACUCCGAGAACUGAAAGGCUUUUUGAAGUCUUCGGAUGGAUAGAAGAACCCCUGAUGCCGUCGAGCCAAGAAAAGUUUCUAAGUUUAGCUAAUGUUGCCCGUACCGUAAACCGACACAGGUGGGUGGGAUGAGUAUUCUAAGGCGCGUGGAAGAACUCUCUUUAAGGAACUCUGCAAAAUAGCACCGUAUCUUCGGUAUAAGGUGUGGUUAGCUUCGUACUAGGAUUUACUCCGAAAGCGAAGAAACUUACAACAAAGAGUCCCUCCCGACUGUUUACCAAAAACACAGCACUCUGCUAACUCGUAAGAGGAUGUAUAGGGUGUGACGCCUGCCCGGUGCUCGAAGGUUAAUUGAUGGGGUUAGCAUUAGCGAAGCUCUUGAUCGAAGCCCGAGUAAACGGCGGCCGUAACUAUAACGGUCCUAAGGUAGCGAAAUUCCUUGUCGGUUAAAUACCGACCUGCAUGAAUGGCGUAACGAGAUGGGAGCUGUCUCAAAGAGGGAUCCAGUGAAAUUGUAGUGGAGGUGAAAAUUCCUCCUACCCGCGGCAAGACGGAAAGACCCCGUGGACCUUUACUACAGCUUGACACUGCUACUUGGAUAAGAAUGUGCAGGAUAGGUGGGAGGCUUUGAGUAUAUGACGCCAGUUGUAUAUGAGCCAUUGUUGAGAUACCACUCUUUCUUAUUUGGGUAGCUAACCAGCUUGAGUUAUCCUCAAGUGGGACAAUGUCUGGUGGGUAGUUUGACUGGGGCGGUCGCCUCCCAAAUAAUAACGGAGGCUUACAAAGGUUGGCUCAGAACGGUUGGAAAUCGUUCGUAGAGUAUAAAGGUAUAAGCCAGCUUAACUGCAAGACAUACAAGUCAAGCAGAGACGAAAGUCGGUCUUAGUGAUCCGGUGGUUCUGUGUGGAAGGGCCAUCGCUCAAAGGAUAAAAGGUACCCCGGGGAUAACAGGCUGAUCUCCCCCAAGAGCUCACAUCGACGGGGAGGUUUGGCACCUCGAUGUCGGCUCAUCGCAUCCUGGGGCUGGAGCAGGUCCCAAGGGUAUGGCUGUUCGCCAUUUAAAGCGGUACGCGAGCUGGGUUCAGAACGUCGUGAGACAGUUCGGUCCCUAUCUGCCGUGGGCGUAAGAAGAUUGAAGAGAUUUGACCCUAGUACGAGAGGACCGGGUUGAACAAACCACUGGUGUAGCUGUUGUUCUGCCAAGAGCAUCGCAGCGUAGCUAAGUUUGGAAAGGAUAAACGCUGAAAGCAUCUAAGCGUGAAGCCAACUCUAAGAUGAAUCUUCUCUAAGCUCUCUAGAAG
rnacentral:rRNA from 1 species